GGGGGCUUUGUUCACCUGGAUGAGCUCAAUGACCAGAGACUCUACAUCUAAACCCUUAAGUUCAGCAUUACUCUGCGGAAGAGCACACGACUGAACUGCAC